UACGAAGGGGGAGCUAGCGUUGCUCGGAAUCAUUGGGCGUAAAGCGCGUGUAGGCGGUCCGGUAAGUCCGCUGUGAAAGUCGGGGGGCUCAACCCUCGGAUGCCGGUGGAUACUGUCGGGCUAGAGUCCGGAAGAGGCGAGUGGAAUUCCUGGUGUAGCGGUGAAAUGCGCAGAUAUCAGGAGGAACACCAAUGGCGAAGGCAGCUCGCUGGGACGGUACUGACGCUGAGGCGCGAAAGCGUGGGGAGCAAACAGG
rnacentral:rRNA from 1 species